rnacentral:rRNA from 1 species
AGUGAACGCUGGCGGCGUGCCUAAUACAUGCAAGUCGAACGACAACACAAUAAGCUUUUUCUCUUAACGUUAGCGGCUGACGGACGAGUAACACGUACAUCACCUACUUCUAUUACUUGGAUAACUUCGUAAAACCGCAUCUGCUACCGCAUCAUAUAUUCUACCGCUUAAUUCAGUAGUUAAUGACAGCUUUCCUGUCUCUUUUAGACGAUUCCGCGCCGCCUUAGCUAGUUGGUAAGGGAACGGCUUACCAAGGCUACGAUGCGUAGCCGACCUGAGAGGAUGAUCGGCCACACUGGAACUGAGACACGGUCCAGACUCCUACGGGAGGCAGCAGUGGGGAAUAUUGGACAAUGGGCGAAAGCCUGAUGCAGCAAUGCCGCGUGAGUGAUGAAGGUCUUCGGAUCGUAAAGCCCUUUUAUUGGGAAAGAAAAAAAGUGGAUGUAACCACGCAUGUUCUGACGGUACCUAAAGAAAAAGCAACGGCUAACUUCGUG